UACAGAGGGGGCAAGCGUUGUUCGGAAUUACUGGGCGUAAAGGGCGCGUAGGCGGCCUGCUAAGUCGAACGUGAAAUCCCCGGGCUUAACCCGGGAACUGCGUCCGAUACUGGUGGGCUUGAAUCCGGGAGAGGGAUGCGGAAUUCCAGGUGUAGCGGUGAAAUGCGUAGAUAUCUGGAGGAACACCGGUGGCGAAGGCGGCAUCCUGGACCGGCAUUGACGCUGAGGCGCGAAAGCCAGGGGAGCAAACGGG
rnacentral:rRNA from 1 species